rnacentral:lncRNA from 1 species
UUUGUUAGUAUAAUGUGUUAUUUGCUACUUGUUUAUCGCUUUGAUAUUAUGUGAAUUGUUAUAUAACUGUCUCUUCUCGCGCACCCAUCUGAGUCUUCUGAGAUACGUUAUUCGGAGAUGCGAUUACGCUCCCGAGCCAUGAGAUACCAGAGAUGCGGCAACGCUCCUGGGAAGGAUUCUAUAGUAACACAUGUCUUAGGAUGGGAAGGACUAAUAGUGAGGCCGGAAAGCCCUGCUACCGGUAAGCUGUCC